rnacentral:lncRNA from 1 species
AUUGAUCGGCUACUCGGCACAUUUCUCUGAUGGGAACUGUCUGUUGUUUUCCCUUCAUCAAGUGAGGGAGGACUCUUCAUUUUGUGGAGGAAGACCACAGAAGCGGGUGCCGAGCUAUCACACCAUGUCAAGGAUGCUCACAGACAUGGCGACUUAAUAUUAAUGAUGCUGAUCCUGAUCCUGACCUCUUCAGGGAGGCAGUGUUUUUCGGAUCCCUCCACUGUAAAAUGGUACCUCCUCUUUCUUUCUUCUGUCUUCUUUGGCAAAACUGGCUAUAUGGACUCCAGACUUAAAAGAAUGAGAAAUUAUGUACCUCCUACUUGAGGAUAGAGGAUGGGUAUAAAUCAUGUGGGAGUCUUCCUCAUGGCAGAUUUGUGUGUUCCCCUGCGUUUACUUAUUCAUUUGACAAUGUGAACUGAUAGACAUUUAUUUUAUCCAUUGGCUUGUGAUUCAGUAUCGCUUUAUUUCGUAUGUUAUUAUGGUAUUACUUUUUUAUUUUACAGUAUCAUUUUUCUCUCUGAGAGUUGUCAUCCCCAAACAUCUAAAGCAUUGGUUUUUUGAUGAAUGGAGGACAUUGUAUGAAUUUUGCAUUGUUGGUGGCUCUACAUUUUUAUGCAUACAAACCUUGAGUUGCAGUUGAGGGGUGCAGUUAUUACUUGGAAGCAGAAUGAUAUAUUCAAGCCUGGCUUUUAUGAUUUUGUUACACAGGUUUAGAGUUAUCUUUAACACAACGCUAAUUACUACUUGCUCCUGAGGGGAGGCAUUCCCGAGUGGCCUAGAUACCUGUAGGUCUUUCCUAUCUGACUGAUAAGAGUGGCAGUGCUCCCAGCCCUGUGGCAACCCUCUAGAAUAGCUUUUAUCGAGUGCUUGCAGCCUUUGUUUCUUUACAUACCUGUACUGGUUAGUACUCUAGUGGUUAUCGAAAGAAUACUCCAUUAAGUGUUCAAGGUUCUCUCCCUGUGACCUUCUCUAACCUCUUGUUCUCUCUCUUUUCAAUUAUAUUGCCUGUCUCCUUGUAAAGAAAUAGACCCAUUUCCACAACUCAAAGAAUGCAUAAAAUUGGGUCUGUGUUUCUCCUCCUGUACCAGGGCUGGCAGCUGUGCACAGGCAGUAAGCUAUGGAAACCAUAGGUCACUUUGUUUCUCAUCUUUUAGAGAUCAUUGAGUUAUA